ACGGGAGGCAGCAGUGGGGAAUAUUGGACAAUGGGGGAAACCCUGAUCCAGCGACGCCGCGUGAGUGAAGAAGUAUUUCGGUAUGUAAAGCUCUAUCAGCAAGGAAGAAAAUGACGGUACUUGACUAAGAAGCUCCGGCUAAAUACGUGCCAGCAGCCGCGGUAAUACGUAUGGAGCAAGCGUUAUCCGGAUUUACUGGGUGUAAAGGGAGCGUAGACGGUAAUGCAAGUCAGAAGUGAAAGCCCAAGGCUCAACCAUGGGACUGCUUUUGAAACUGUAAUACUAGAGUGCAGGAGAGGUAAGUGGAAUUCCUAGUGUAGCGGUGAAAUGCGUAGAUAUUAGGAGGAACACCAGUGGCGAAGGCGGCUUACUGGACUGUAACUGACGUUGAGGCUCGAAAGCGUGGGGAGCAAACAGGAUUAGAUACCCUGGUA
rnacentral:rRNA from 2 species